CUCGCUGUUCCUUUCCUCGACUCCCAAACCACAGAGCACCCAUUUUGUCAUUCCUUCUUAUCUCGUGUCAUCCAUUUAUCCGUGCCUGUCGCGUCGUCGUUUCGUUAUUUUUUCUUUUCUUUUUUUUUCUUUUUUUUUCUUUUCUUUUUUUUUCUCUUUUUUUUUCUUUUUUUUUCUUUUUUUUUCGAGCAAACACGAGCACUUGAGAAUGAGAAUGGCGUUAACAAGGAAACGUAUUUAUUACAAAAAGUUCAACGAUAGAACGAGUUAGUAAAUAACCAGAAAGAGAGAGACAGAGAGAGUGAGAGAGAGAGAGAAAGAGCACCGAGAGAGAGAGAGAGAGCAUCGAGAGAACGAAACGAUUUAUGCUCUUCUUUAGUCUCCUUCUCAAGUACUCGCCUCCGAGUAAAUUCUUUUAACAUUACCACCGAUCCAAGCCUGCGCCCCACAUUAUAUCUCUUCGGCGGAUUCCGCCUGAAAGACAUGGGUAGUGAGAUGUUCUCACGCAAUCGCGUCUCACUACCUUGUCUUUCAUGUGGCGUUCGUUGAACCCCUUCAACCUCUUCAACCUCGUCGACACGAGAAUCGGAGCACGUACCCUACAUUUUCUUUCCCCCCUUGAGUAUUUUUCUCUUUUUUCAAAGUUUCGUUGAACGCGAAAUUUUUCAUGCGACCCAUCGCCAAUAUAACAUUUGUUAUUAGUCUCCUACGACGCGAAGGAGUAGUGACGGGAUUUGUUGGAAAAGAGAGAGAGGGAGAGAGAGAGAGAGAGAGAGAGAGAGAGAGAGAGAGAGAAAAAGAGAAAGAAAGAGAGAGAGAGAGAGAGAGAAAGAGAAAGAAAGAGAGAGAAUGUGUGAGAAAGAUGGAAGGAGGAGAUAGACCUUAGAGAAGUAAAGCACGGCGAGCACGAUCCUCGAUCGAUAGGGGCAUGCUUUUACCAUCAAAGUUGGUUUGUCAUAGAGAUCAACUAUCACAGCCAGCUUUGAUGAGCAAAAUUGUGUCCGUCCUCAACACUGUUUAAACGAGAGCGAGAGGUUGAGUGAGAGAAAGAAGAACAAGAGUGAGUGAAUGAGUGAUUGAAUGAGUGAGUGAAUGAGUCAGUCAGAGAGUGUGAGAGAGAGAGAAAGAGAGAGUGUGUGUGUGUGUGUAUGUACGUGCGUGCGUGUGUGUGUAUGUGAUGGAGAGAAUGUUGACGCAAAACAAGCGUGUUGUUUCAAAGAAUCAAGAACAAAGGAAGAAAAAAAGAAAGAAGAUACGAGAGAAAGGAAGAGGAACGGAUGAUCGAGUACACGAGAUCGAAGAAAUCUAAUGAAGAAGAGGAAGAGCUGCUGGGAGCAACGAAUGGCGGAUAAAAAGAUACGAAUCACGCUCGGCGAUCGUGUAUCAACAUCGGGGAAAAAAUCGAGCGAGCAAGCCAGAUUAUUAUGUUGGAGACAAAAGGAAACACGAUCCAAUCGUCAAAUUGGCUGUGACGUGUAGCCUUUUCUUUUGAUUUCAUAUCACAGCCAUUUUUGAUGUUUGGAUCGAUGUUUUUUCGCAUCGUUGGGCCCGCACGUUCCUCGACCUCCUUCCUCCUACGCGCCCAAGGAAGAGAAAGACUAACUCAGAUAGCAAAAAAAGAAAAAAAAAAAAAAGAAAAAAUAAAAGAGGGAGAAAACGAAAGAAUGAGAGGAAGAGGGAGAAAAAAAAGAAAGAUA